AAUAUAAUGUAUAAAUAUUUCUUUUCUAACAGCAAAGUGUUGAAAUGGGUAAUACAGCCGGCUUUUGUGGCGCAGAAUGGCGAUCCUGGACGCAUUUCAAUAUUUUCUGCAACAAUCCAUGCGAUUUCCUGAAAAUAAAAACAUCAAAUACAGACAUACACACAUACCGAUAAUCAUGAUGUACGAAUUACUUACUUCAUGUCUGUCUCCAUAAUCUUCAAUCGGUCCUCCAUAAUCUUCAAUCGUUCUUCUAUUUUCCUAUAUUCUACGCUUGACAGACAGCAUGUCCUUCGCUCUCCUCACGUUGGUAAGAUACAUCCUGUUGCAUAGGCAAGGUGUCCUGCAGCUGAGACAAUAUAUCAUUAGUAUAGUACAUUUUGUCAGACUCAGCAAUGGCACCUGCUGCUCCUGUAGCUGUUCCUUCUCCGCUUUGAACCCUCGUCAGAAGAAGUUGUUUGAUAGCGCAAUGGCUUGGGAACAAUGCGCUUUUGCCGUUCCAUCUAAACAAACGGAUUCAUAUUCAAACGUUGGACGAAGUAAAACCAAAGUAUUGAGUAUGAAAAAUGCAAGCACUCAAACACGCUAUGAAUUAUGGGUGUGUUCCGUACGUGUAACAUGCGGCUUCAAUGUGGUAUCCUUAGAGUUGAAAUCACAAAUUCGUCGAGUACAAGUUAUUACGAUUACAAUUGAACUCGGAAUGACCGUUAGACGGCUUCUGCCCACAAAACACGGAAACAUUUGGCGCGCGGCAAAAAGCAACAUGGUAGCCAAUGAAAAACCGUCUUUCCGUAACGUCUUACACAUCACAUAGCAUCACACGCAUACGUGAAACGGAACACACUCUGGAGUGCGUUCGGAUUCCCUACUCGAGUGUCCCCUGCUACCCAAAAGCCGUUCAGAUUCUCUCCGGCUCUCCUCAAAGUUACUAGGAAUAGCGUUCGGAUUCCUAGUCGAGAGCUCUCGGAGAGACUCUCAACUCACCUAGCUAUUGGAGCCGGGUCGUCGAGUGAGUAAGUUGAAAAAGCGCGAAACUGCCAAAUUCAAGUAUCUUUGUAUUUCUUAGUGCGUAUAUGUGAAUGAGUCAUAUGUUUGUUUGAUUUCGUAUUACAUUCGUAUUUCAUUUGAACAAUUAUAUGAUGGAGCUGAAAAACUUAAAAUUAUGUACCAACGAAAGCGGACACGUCAUUUUACAAAACAAUAGAUUUGUCGCAUUUGAUUGCAAAGCCGAAUGAUUAAUACAUCUUCCAAAUAAGGAGAAUGUUCGUAAAUAUUUCAACAUAACACACAUGUCGGAUGUAGAAAAGGAACAAUACAUCAAAGAAUAUGACAAAGAGGAAAAUAAAAAUACUGCAGCUAUUAGUAUCAAACAACAAGCUUCUUGGAAAGAUGAUAAUGCUGUCAAGGCACUUGUUCGUGAAUGGAAGUUGCAUGAAGAGAAAUUUAAGAGUACUACUAUCACAAAUGACAAAGUAUGGAAUAUGAUCGCUGUCAAAUUAAUGAAGGAAAAUCCUCUUUGGGAGUACACUGCAAAGUGUGAAAAUUAAUUUAAAGAUAUUCGGAAGAAUUAUAUAAAACUAAGGACAACAAUGUGAACAAGAGUGGACAAGAUUUGCAAACAUGUAAAUUCUAUGAAGAAAUAGACGAAGUUUUUGGUGAAAUGCCUAUUAUUCAACCUGUGGCUAUCGCUUCUACCCUAAAGAAACACAAGCGUUCAACAUUUCACAGUACGUCUGAUUCAUCUGAAGACGAGGAGAAUGUGAAAAAUUCUGGUCAGAAACCUAAGAAGAAAAGUAAAAUUAGCAUCGAGUUAAAUAAAUGGGUACUUUUACAACAAGAAGCAAAUGUUGUACGAGAGCAAGCUAAAAAAAGGCGACAUGAGAAAAAGAUGCAGCGCCAAGAUGAAGCAAUUAAGAUAUACAACGAUAAUAUGAAA